rnacentral:rRNA from 1 species
CCUACGUGAGGCAGCAGUGGGGGAUAUUGCACAAUGGGGGAAACCCUGAUGCAGCGACGCCGCGUGUGGGAAGACGGUCCUCUGGAUUGUAAACCACUGUCCCCAGGGACGAAGAUGACGGUACCUGGGGAGGAAGCUCCGGCUAACUAAGUGCCAGCAGCCGAGGUAAUACGUAGGGAGCGAUCGUUGUCUGGAAUUCAGGGGGGUAAAGGGAGCGUAGGCGGGGGUGCAAGGUGGGUGUAAAAACUACCGGCUAAACUGGGAGGCGCACUCAAAACUGCAACUCUUGAGUGAAGUAGAGGCAGGCGGAAUUCCUGGUGUAGCGGUGAAAUGCGUAGAUAUUAGGAGGAACACCAGUGGCGAAGGCGGCCUGCUGGGCUUUUACUGACGCUGAGGCUCGAAAGUGUGGGGAGCAAACAGGAUUAGAUACCCGGGUAGUC